rnacentral:rRNA from 1 species
UACGAAGGGGGCUAGCGUUGCUCGGAAUGACUGGGCGUAAAGGGCGCGUAGGCGGACAGCUUUGUCAGGCGUGAAAUUCCAGGGCUCAACCUUGGGGCUGCGUUUGAGACGGGUUGUCUUGAGUGGAGAAGAGGGUCGUGGAAUUCCCAGUGUAGAGGUGAAAUUCGUAGAUAUUGGGAAGAACACCGGUGGCGAAGGCGGCGACCUGGUCUUUUACUGACGCUGAGGCGCGGAAGCGUGGGGAGCAAACAGG